UACGGGGGGGGCAAGCGUUGCUCGGAAUCACUGGGCGUAAAGCGCGCGUAGGCGGACCUGCAAGUCGGGGGUGAAAGCCCGAGGCUCAACCUCGGAACUGCCUUCGAUACUGCGGGUCUCGAGUCCGGGAGAGGUGAGUGGAAUUCCUAGUGUAGAGGUGAAAUUCGUAGAUAUUAGGAAGAACACCAGUGGCGAAGGCGGCUCACUGGCCCGGUACUGACGCUGAGGCGCGAAAGCGUGGGGAGCAAACAGG
rnacentral:rRNA from 1 species